CUGGCAGGGCUGAGAGGCCUGCUGUUGUGCUGCAGAAGAGGCCAGAAACAUCUCCAGCCAGUCUGCCUGUUGCUGCCUCUGGACUCCUUGCCUACUGCCCCCCUCCCUUUUUCCCAGCGCUGGGCUACAUGGCUGAAAAAGUUUGAGAACUCCUGCUCUGUACUAUAGAUCAGAUGUGAAGAAAGAGCACUGAGUUGAUUUAUUCAGUUCAGCUGAAAAGGAUGACACCCGUGAUCGUUCGUCAGGAAGCC
rnacentral:lncRNA from 11 species